CUUUGGAAUCAGUAUCGGGGCUUCAGGGGGAAGUCGAAAUAGUAAAAAUAUAAAAAGGGGGGGGGUGAAAGUGGCAAUUUUCUAAAAUUACCCGAGAGGUCUCGCAGCCCCUUGUAUNUGCGAAGGUAGAGCUUCGAAACCGAAAAGAUAAAUUUUUUGGGCUUCUCGGGAGUCUCGGGCCGUGUUUCGGGCUUUGGAAUCAGUAUCGGGGCUUCAGGGGGAAGUCGAAAUAGUAAAAAUAUAAAAAGGGGGGGGGUGAAAGUGGCAAUUUUCUAAAAUUACCCGAGAGGUCUCGCAGCCCUUUGUAUUUAUAGGGAGGUCCGAAGUCGGCUAAGGAAGGGGAGUCAGCAGUGAGGACACGCGGCAUCAGCAGGGUGAGGGUGCGCAGGUGGCUCGCACGUGGGUUGCGCAUGCGAGGGGCUUGGUGUCGGCUUCUGAUUGGACCAAGGCGAGGCUUCGGACGUGGCACCCCUGCGAGGCUCGCACACGUGAUAAAGGGCACGCGUCGGAUUCUUAGCGGACCGGACUUCGGAUGCGAGGGCAGGCGACACGUCUCGCCAGCUGGCUUCGGUGACUCACCAAUUUCGGAUACGUGGCAUGUUUUAAGCGAGGGUGACGUGGCCGAAGUCCACGUAUGCGAGAUUUCUCGGUUUUUGUGCAAAAACUUCUAAAAUCCAUAACUUUCACAUACGAGCUCCGUUUUUGACGUUCUUUAUAUGCACGCGUAGCUAAAAUUAUGCUCUACAACUUUCGUUUAGACUUCGUCGGCUAAUUUUGACUUUAGUUUUAAUAUUAUAAUUUUUAACAGACCGGGACAGGAAAAUCCGUUAAAAAUUCAUAACUUCUUCAUCUGACGUCCGUUUUUGUCAGACUUUUCACCGUUGCACUACUAAUGACGAGACCUUCAAUUCUCGUUUAGGUUGUGUUGGCUAAAAAUCACUCGAUCUAAAAUUCAAGUUUUUAGUUGUUUACUGCUAAGCUGAAACUUCGAAAAAUCAUAACUUUCUCAUACGAAGUCAGAUUCAAA
rnacentral:lncRNA from 1 species